UGGGUAACCUGCCUCAGACUCUGGGAUAACUCCGGGGAAACCGGGGCUAAUACCGGAUACUCCGAUCGGAUCACAUGGUCUGAUCGGGAAAGCUCCGACGGUCUGGGAUGGGCCCGCGGCCUAUCAGCUUGUUGGCGAGGUAACGGCUCACCAAGGCGACGACGGGUAGCUGGUCUGAGAGGACGACCAGCCACACUGGAACUGAGAUACGGUCCAGACCUCCGUACGGGA
rnacentral:rRNA from 1 species